GACGAACGCUGGCGGCGUGCUUAACACAUGCAAGUCGAGCGGUAAGGCCCUUUCGGGGGUACACGAGCGGCGAACGGGUGAGUAACACGUGGGUGACCUGCCCUCAGCUCUGGGAUAAGCCUGGGAAACCGGGUCUAAUACUGGAUAUGACUCCAUGACGCAUGUUGUGGGGUGGAAAGCCUUGUGCGGCUGAGGAUGGGCCCGCGGCCUAUCAGCUUGUUGGUGGGGUGAGGCCUACCAAGGCGACGACGGGUAGCCGGCCUGAGAGGGCGACCGGCCACACUGGGACUGAGACACGGGCCCAGACUCCUACGGGAGGCAGCAGUGGGGAAUCUUGCGCAAUGGGCGAAAGCCUGACGCAGCGACGCCGCGUU
rnacentral:rRNA from 1 species